rnacentral:rRNA from 1 species
AGCAGUAGCCGCGGUAAUACGUAGGUGGCAAGCGUUGUCCGGAAUUAUUGGGCGUAAAGCGCGCGCAGGCGGAUCGGUCAGUCUGUCUUAAAAGUUCGGGGCUUAACCCCGUGAUGGGAUGGAAACUGCCAAUCUAGAGUAUCGGAGAGGAAAGUGGAAUUCCUAGUGUAGCGGUGAAAUGCGUAGAUAUUAGGAAGAACACCAGUGGCGAAGGCGACUUUCUGGACGAAAACUGACGCUGAGGCGCGAAAGCCAGGGGAGCGAACGGGAUUAGAUACCCCCGUAGUCCCUGUCUCUUAUACA